AUUGAACGCUGGCGGCAUGCCUUACACAUGCAAGUCGAACGGCAGCGGGGGAGAAGCUUGCUUUUCCUGCCGGCGAGUGGCGAACGGGUGAGUAAUACAUCGGAACGUGCCCUGUAGUGGGGGAUAACUAGUCGAAAGAUUAGCUAAUACCGCAUACGACCUGAGGGUGAAAGUGGGGGACCGCAAGGCCUCAUGCUAUAGGAGCGGCCGAUGUCUGAUUAGCUAGUUGGUGGGGUAAAGGCCUACCAAGGCGACGAUCAGUAGCUGGUCUGAGAGGACGAGCAGCCACACUGGGACGGAGACACGGCCCAGACUCCUACGGGAGGCAGCAGUUGGGAAUUGUGGACAAUGGGCGAAAGCCUGAUCCAGCAAUGCCGCGUGUGUGAAGAAGGCCGUCGGGUUGUAAAGCACUUUUGUCCGGAAAGGAAUGGCUCUGGUUAAUACCUGGGGUCGAUGACGGUACCGGAAGAAUAAGGACCGGCUAACUACGUGCCAGCCGCCGCGGUAA
rnacentral:rRNA from 1 species